rnacentral:tRNA from 1 species
GGCGAUGUAGCUCAGCUGGUCAGAGCGAGGGAUUCAUAAACCCUAGGUCGGAGGUUCGAGUGCACUCAUAGCCU